CGCCCACAGUGCGUCAGCGACAGCGAGUCGGUGGUGGAACCUACAGCAAGUUCAAGACAACUCCGAGGACUGAGCUCUCGACCAUCACUCCUGGUGCUCAAGAACAGCCCAUGGAAGAAUCAUAUGAAGAGGUGGUGACUUAGGUCAUACAGCAGGAGUGGACAUGUUUGGAUUUCCAACAGCUACCCUGCUGGACUGUCAUGGAAGAUAUGCCCAGAAUGUAGCCUUUUUCAAUGUGAUGACAGAGGCCCACCACAAAUAUGAUCAUUCUGAGGCUACAGGAUCCUCAAGCUGGGAUUUCCAGAAUUCUUUCAGAAGAGAGAAGCUGGAACAAAAAUCCCCAGAUUCUAAGACACUACAGGAAGAUUCACCUGGAGUGAGACAGAAGGUCUAUGAGUGCCAGGAAUGUGGAAAAUCCUUCCGGCAGAAAGGUAGUCUAACAUUACAUGAGAGAAUCCACACUGGUCAAAAGCCUUUUGAGUGUACCCACUGUGGAAAAAGCUUCAGAGCCAAAGGCAAUCUUGUUACACAUCAGCGAAUACACACAGGAGAGAAACCCUAUCAGUGCAAGGAGUGUGGGAAAAGCUUUAGUCAGCGAGGUAGUCUGGCCGUCCAUGAGAGACUCCACACUGGACAAAAACCCUAUGAGUGUGCUAUUUGUCAGAGAAGCUUCAGGAAUCAAAGUAAUCUUGCUGUUCACAGAAGAGUUCACAGCGGUGAGAAGCCCUAUAGAUGUGAUCAGUGUGGAAAAGCCUUCAGUCAGAAAGGAAGCUUGAUUGUUCACAUCAGAGUCCACACAGGCCUGAAGCCUUAUGCCUGUACCCAGUGCAGGAAGAGUUUCCACACAAGGGGGAAUUGUAUUCUGCAUGGCAAAGUCCACACAGGAGAGACGCCCUAUCUGUGUGGCCAGUGUGGAAAAAGCUUCACUCAGAGAGGGAGCCUGGCUGUGCACCAGCGAAGCUGCUCACGAAGGCUCACCUUUUGACCAUUCUCUUCAAAGGGAGUUCUCUUUGUGAAUUAAUAGUACAAAAUUCUCUGAGAUCAAGCAACCUAUCUAAUUCUGUGGAGUGAAUGGAGACUUUCAGAAAGACCAUCGGGUAGGGCAGACUGACUUUUCCCCUUUCCCCAAAAUGCGUAUGAAAAAUAAAAGUCUUGUUUAUUAUCAUUA